rnacentral:rRNA from 1 species
UACAGAGGGUUCAAGCGUUGUUCGGAUUCAUUGGGCGUAAAGGGUGAGUAGGCGGCGCGGUAAGUCGGGUGUGAAAUCUCGGAGCUUAACUCCGAAACUGCAUUCGAUACUGCCGUGCUUGAGGACUGGAGAGGAGACUGGAAUUUACGGUGUAGCGGUGAAAUGCGUAGAUAUCGUAAGGAAGACCAGUGGCGAAGGCGGGUCUCUGGACAGUUCCUGACACUGAGACACGAAGGCCAGGGGAGCAAACGGG